rnacentral:rRNA from 1 species
UGAGGAAUAUUGCACAAUGGGCGCAAGCCUGAUGCAGCGACGCCGCGUGGGUGAAGAAGGUUUUCGGAUCGUAAAACCCUUUUCUGUGUGACGAGCAAGGACGGUAGCACAGGAAUAAGUCUCGGCUAACUACGUGCCAGCAGCCGCGGUAAAACGUAGGAGACAAACGUUAUCCGGAGUUACUGGGCGUAAAGGGCGUGUAGGUGGUUUUGUAAGUCUGGCGUGAAAUUUCUCGGCUUAACCGAGGCAGGUCGUCGGAUACUAUAAGACUAGAGGACGGUAGAGGCGUGUGGAAUUCCGGGUGUAGUGGUGAAAUGCGUAGAGAUCCGGAGGAACACCAGUGGCGAAGGCGACACGCUGGGCCGUACCUGACACUGAUGCGCGACAGCAUGGGGAGCAAACAG